AUUUACAAGAUAAAGAAGGACUUCGUGCUGCUAAUAAAAUUAAUAAAUCUCAUAUUGACUAUCACAAACAAAAAAUGAAAGUUAAACUUGCUGUACAAGUUUUUAGUAGCUCAGUGGCAAAAGGUAUUCUUUUGGCACAAGAGCUAAAGAUUGAUGGGUUUGAAAAUUGUGAGAGCACAGUUGACUUUAUUCAAAUGAUUGAUCAAAUGUUUGACUUUUUAAAUACACAGAACAUAGUUGCUAAAGGGUUUAAAAAACCACUAACUACAAAUUCACUUUCUUAUUAUGAAAAUUUUUUUGAGAUGUGCAUUACAACUUUAAAAUCCUUAAAGUUUGAAAGUUGAAAAUACAUUUAUAGAUCAAAAAAAAAGUCUGCAUUAUAGGCUUAAUCUUGUCAAUGAAAAGCAUUUUGGGAAUUGGGAGGGAAUUAUUAUUAGGACCUAACCCCAAACUACAAAUAUUUUUGAUAAUCUGGUUGAUCACAUGCUAGAUCAAGAAGAAACAUCUAGCCAUUAUCAAAAAUUAAUUAGAUUAAUAGU